rnacentral:rRNA from 1 species
AGAGUUUGAUCCUGGCUCAGAACGAACGCUGGCGGCGUGCUUAACACAUGCAAGUCGAACGAGAAAGUUUCCUUCGGGAAGCGAGUAGAGUGGCGCACGGGUGAGUAACGCGUAGGUAAUCUACCCUUAUGCCUGGGAUAACAUCGGGAAACUGGUGCUAAUACCGGAUGUCCUUCCUGACUGUGGGGUCAGGGAGGAAAGGUGGCCUCUUCAUGAAAGCUACCGCGUAGGGAUGAGCCUGCGUACCAUUAGCUAGUAGGCGGGGUAACGGCCCACCUAGGCAACGAUGGUUAGCGGGUCUGAGAGGAUGAUCCGCCACACUGGAACUGAAACACGGACCAGACUCCUACGGGAGGCAGCAGUGAGGAAUAUUGCGCAAUGGGGGCAACCCUGACGCAGCGACGCCGCGUGGAUGAUGAAGGCUUUCGGGUCGUAAAAUCCUGUCAGAUGGGAAGAAAUGAUUCAUGGUUAAUACCUAUUUUAGUUUGACGGUACCAUCAAAGGAAGCACCGGCUAACUCCGUGCCAGCAGCCGCGGUAAUACGGAGGGUGCACGCGUUGUUCGGAAUUACUGGGCGUAAAGCGCGCGUAGGUGGUUUGUUAAGUCAGAUGUGAAAGUCCACGGCUCAACCGUGGAAGAGGCAUUUGAAACUGGCAAACUUGAGUACUGGAGGGGGUAGUGGAAUUCCCGGUGUAGAGGUGAAAUUCGUAGAUAUCGGGAGGAAUACCGGUGGCGAAGGCGACUACCUGGACGAUUACUGACGCUGAGGCACGAAAGCGUGGGGAGCUAACAGGAUUAGAUACCCUGGUAGUCCACGCCGUAAACGAUGGGCACUAGGGAUAGGGGGUGUUGAUCCCUCCUGUCCCGGAGCUAACGCGUUAAGUUCUCCGCCUGGGAAGUACGGUCGCAAGAUUAAAACUCAAAGGAAUUGACGGGGGCCCGCACAAGCGGUGGAGUAUGUUGGUUUAAUUCGAUGCAACGCGAAGAACCUUACCUGCCCUUGACAUUGACAGAAUCCCGUAGAGAUAUGGGAGUGCCUUCGGGCCUGGAAAACAGGUGCUGCAUGGCUGUCGUCAGCUCGUGUCGUGAGAUGUUGGGUUAAGUCCCGCAACGAGCGCAACCCUUGUCCCUAGUUGCCAGCGGUUCGGCCGGGAACUCUAGGGAGACUGCCAGCGACAAGCUGGAGGAAGGCGGGGACGACGUCAAGUCAUCAUGGCCCUUAUGGGCAGGGCUACACACGUGCUACAAUGGCCGGUACAGAGGGCAGCAAACCCGCGAGGGGGAGCCAAUCCCAGAAAGCCGGUCGUAGUCCGGAUCGGAGUCUGCAACUCGACUCCGUGAAGUCGGAAUCGCUAGUAAUCGCGAAUCAGCAUUGUCGCGGUGAAUACGUUCCCGGGUCUUGUACACACCGCCCGUCACACCAUGGAAGUUGGUUGUACCAGAAGUAGGUAGCCUAACCUUCGGGAGGGCGCUUACCACGGUGUGGCCAAUGACUGGGGUGAAGUCGUAACAAGGUAACC